CCGUAACAAUAACGGUCCUAAGGUAGCGAAAUUCUUUGUCGAGUAAGUUUCGACCUGCACGAAAGGUGUAACGAUCUGGGCGCUGUCUCGGAGAGAGACUCGGUGAAAUAGACUUGUCCCGUGAAGAUGCGGACUACCUGCACCAGGACAGAAAGACCCUAUGAAGCUUGACUGUAUCCUGGAAUUGGGUUCGGGCUUUUCUUGCGCAGCCUAGGUGGGAGGCUAUGAAGGUUCCCUUCCGGGGGAACAUGAGCCAUCAUUGAGAGACCACUCUGGAAGAGCUAGAAUCCUAAUGGUGAUCUUUGAAUCAAGACACUUGACAGUUUCAGGUGGGCAGUUUAUCUGGGGCGGAUGCCUCCUAAAAGGUAACGGAGGUGUGCAAAGGUUCCCUCAGCCUGGACGGAAAUCAGGCAUUGAGUGUAAAGGCAAAAGGGAGCUUGACUGCAAGACCUACAAGUCGAGCAGGGGCGAAAGCCGGCCUUAGUGAUCCGACGGUACCGUGUGGAAGGGCCGUCGCUCAACGGAUAAAAGUUACUCUAAGGAUAACAGGCUGAUCUUCCCCAAGAGUUCACAUCGACGGGAAGGUUUGGCACCUCGAUGUCGGCUCAUCACAUCCUGGAGCGGCAGUACGUUCCAAGGGUUGGGCUGUUCGCCCAUUAAAGUGGUACGUGAGCUGGGUUCAGAACGUCGUGAGACAGUUCGGUCCCUAUCUGUCGUGGGUGUAGGAGUGUUGAGAGGAUUUGUCCCUAGUACGAGAGGACCGGGAUGAACACACCUCUGGUGGACCUGUUGUGGCGCCAGCCGCAAUGCAGGGUAGCUAUGUGUGGACGGGAUAACCGCUGAAGGCAUCUAAGCGGGAAACCCACCUCAAAACGAGCGCUCCCUUGAGAGGCGUGGAAGACGACCACGUUGAUAGGCUGGGUGUGUAAGCGCG
rnacentral:rRNA from 1 species